rnacentral:lncRNA from 1 species
AAUGAGUAAAAUAAUCUAUAAAACAGUUCGAUAUACAUCAAAGUUACAAACAGCGCCACCCAGCGGCGGGCUUUAGAAACGCAUCACAGAUGCUCGCGGCGGUGGCUCGUGCACUUCUUUAAUAAUACAGGCUAUGCACGCGAGUUAGCAAGUUUUUAGGGACUCUUUGUCGCAUUAUUGUAGAAGCGAGAUGGCAGAAUUCAGCCCGAAGCGUCCAGCUGAAGGUGGACCUCCUCCCUUUCCUCCCCCGAAGAACAAUAAACGCUCUUCGGCUAAAAAGGCCUCCGACAAAGAGCGAGACAAGAGCCGGAUCAACGUCGGGCCGGCGUUCCCCAGAUGGAGAGCACUGCGAGCGGCCAAAGGGCUCCAGCUGGACUCGGAGCUGGCCUUUCUUCUGCUCGACGCUUCUCCUAGUAUCCUCGAGGGACAGACGGACUUUGACGAGGAUCAAGUCAACUCUCUGGAACAUUGUGUGAUCGAGUGCGAGAGUGUUUCAGGAGAAACGGGGCAGCAGAGAGAGCACAGCUCUGACGAGGACCGUGCCCCCCCACUUCAUAUACGUUUGGGAUCCGCUCUGGACAAAAGGCCACAGCUGGACAACCUGCCCGUCAUCGCAGCUGGCGAGAUGGUCCACGACCUUCCCGCGGAUCUCGGCCCCCCUGCGGAGAAGACUGCGGUUCCUACCGAGCCGCACGCGGUGAUGAGAGAAGAAGACAUUGUCGGCUCCCGCGCCGCCAUCGUCUACGAGGAGAGUCUACGUCAGCUGACCGCGCUGCUCCACCUGCCUGUGACACGCUGUCGACACAGGAUGUCCUCCGGGCUGCUGUGCCUCGGCCUCCCCCCCUUUCAGAGCAGGGUUCACCAGCGGCGUACGGCCUUUGUGGUAGAAUGGGUGUGCCCUCACGGUCAUGUGGUGUGGAGCUGGACCUCGCAGCCGAGCCUGAAUUUUGGGAUGUUGGCCGGUGACUUCCUGCUGGGGACGAACAUCCUGCUGAGCGGCAGCGACUACGCUAAAGUCGCCCUGCUGCUCCGCUUCAUGAACAUGGGAGUCCUGAGUCCGGGCAGCUUCUCCAGGAUCCAGGACCGCUACUGCGUGGACGCGGUGCGGGACUUCUGGGUGGAGAGGAGCGCGGAGGCCGUUCAGCGCCUGCAGGGAAACCACGUGGUUGUUUUAGGUGAGCGUCCACAGCUGCCCCGAUGUUUUCACCUUCAGUACAGAUCAGAUAAACAACUCGUCAAUUAAUUAUUACGCCUUUUUGUUUUUAGGAUCCGGGAGCC